rnacentral:rRNA from 1 species
GGGAUCUGCCCGAUAGAGGGGGGUAACUACUGGAAACGGUGGCUAAUACCGCAUAAUGUCUACGGACCAAAGCAGGGGCUCUUCGGACCUUGCACUAUCGGAUGAACCCAUAUGGGAUUAGCUAGUAGGUGGGGUAAAGGCUCACCUAGGCGACGAUCUCUAGCUGGUCUGAGAGGAUGAUCAGCCACACUGGGACUGAGACACGGCCCAG